UUGGGAGUCAGAUCCCUGCUGAUUGUAUUGUGGCAGUUUGUUUUGUAUUGUAUCCUGGGUAAGGGGGGAGAAUGACGGCCAGGGCGUGCAAACACAAA